rnacentral:rRNA from 1 species
ACGUGAGCAACCUGCCCCUGACUCUGGGAGUAGCCUCGGGAAACCGGGAAGUUAAUACCGGAUAUGACAUCGCCUCGCAUGGGGUGGGUGUGGGAAGGUUUUUCGGUUCGGGGAGUGGGCGUCGCGGCCUAUCAGCUUGUUGGUGGGGUGGAUGGCCUACCAAGGCGACGACGGGUAGCCGGCCUGAGAGGGUGACCGGCCACACUGGGACUGAGACACGGCCCAGACUCCUACGGGAGGCAGCAGUGGGGAAUAUUGCGCAAUGGGCGAAAGCCUGACGCAGCGACGCCGCGUGAGGGA